rnacentral:rRNA from 1 species
AGCAGCCGCGGUAAUUCCAGCUCCAAUAGCGUAUAUUAAAGUUGUUGCAGUUAAAAAGCUCGUAGUUGAAUUUCGGAAUCUGUCCGUUGGUCGGGCUUAACUGUCCGUACUGAUGUGAUGGGUUCUUACCUUCUGAAUAACCAUCAUGCCAUUAAUUUGGUGUGUUGGGGAAGCAGGACUAUUACCUUGAAAAAAUUAGAGUGCUCAAAGCAGGCUAGUGCCUGAAUACAUUAGCAUGGAAUAAUAAAAUAGGACGGCAUGGUUCUAUUUUGUUGGUUUCUAGGAUCACCGUAAUGAUUAAUAGGGAUAGUUGGGGGCAUUAGUAUUCAAUUGUCAGAGGUGAAAUUCUUGGAUUUAUUGAAGACUAACUUCUGCGAAAGCAUUUGCCAAGGAUGUUUUCAUUAAUCAAGAACGAAAGUUAGGGGAUCGAAGACGAUCAGAUACCGUCGUAGUCUUAACCAUAAACUAUGCCGACUAGGGAUCGGACGAUGUUAAUUUAUAAUGACUCGUUCGGCG